rnacentral:ncRNA from 1 species
AGGACGACCCAGGGGAGCAAGCGCUGAGAGGAGGCCGCAGGGCCUCGACCCUGGAACCUGACCCGGAUAAUGCCGGCGUAGGAAGACGGUCGUGCGUGGAGCC